CCUGCGCCGCUUCCGGGCUCGUGUUUAACCAGCCGUCAGUCGCUGCUCGGGUUGCCAGGUUGGACCUUCUGCCGGUUUCAGGUGGCGUCCUGCACGUUUCACUGCUCGGGGGUUUGAUGGCGUCUCUCUGCUCCAGGUUAUCGCCUCUUCCGAGCCAACGGGGACCCGGGCCAGUUCCAGAACGUGCCGAGCCCUUUUCCAGCCUCAUUCCGGUGUGACGUCAUCGCGUAUUCCCCUCCAACACAUUGAUCCACGUCUUGUCUGCAGCCUGGGUGGCACGCGUCACGUUCAACGAGGCUGCGGCGCGGGGUGAACACGUCCCAUCGGGCGCUCGUGCCUUUUGGACGCGCAUCAAAGGACGCGUCUGCUUGUGCGUGCGCAACGUGCCGUCAUCCGCUGCGACCGGCGCGCCAUUCAUCGCGAUGGAACGCCGAGCUGUUAUGGCGUCACGUUCUCAGCUGAAAUCUGUAAUUUGCCAACUUAAACAUUGUGUGUGUGUCCACAAACCUUCAAGCGGAUUUAAACAAGCAUCCAUUAAACAUGUUCUCUGACA